CAGGUCUGAAGAGACUGGAUGUGAUUGUAUGGUGAGCACAAUAGAAUAACUUGGCUGCACAAAUUACAGAUGAUGUUUUGAAAAGAACAAGAACUGUGUUAAUCUAGAAGAAAAUGAAGUGAGUGCUUGCUGAAUAUUGUCUUGGUCAGUAGAGUCCCCCUCGGUCUGCUCAAGUGUCACUUUGUGGCAUGAUUAGUUCUUCCUAAUUGGCCUUGUGCUUCAUUUGUUUUGUGUCUUCAGACCGUCCUUUAGGAUGGACAACUGGCAGACGUGGCACAGUGCAAACUGCCUUAUGGUGUCCCAUCAGGUCAGACAGGCUCCUGUUCUCAGCAGCAGUUUCUCUGCCAAAUGCCAUCGUAUCGCAUCUAAGCUGUUUAGUGUGUGUGAUGCUGUACUCUGGGGGCACUGAGAGGUUCUCUGCCCAAUCCAAGCCUAAACAUGGAGUGGUGGCACUGCCUCUGUGCGGGUAAAGACACACACUGGAAGCUGUCAGCUGCUCUGUUCUGCUUUACUCUGUGUCUCCUGCUGCAUAGGGUGCAUCUGUGUAUGGCAAAGUGGGC
ensembl:lncRNA